GUUUACGGCCACACCACCUGACACGCCGAUCUCGUCGAUCUCGAAGCUAAGCAGGGCGGGCCUGGUUAGUACUUGGAUGGGAGACCGCCUGGGAAUACCAGGUGCUGUAAGUU
rnacentral:rRNA from 1 species